UCCAAGACAAUGAAGAUGAACACACUUUGUAAAUGUGGGUAUUCGUCACAUUUGAAAAUCUCAUGGUCAAAUGACAAUCUAGGAAGAAGAUUUUUUGGUUGUAAAAGAUAUAAGAUUCGAGGCGUUCGGAGGACGAUUCACGUGGAAAGGGCUUAUUGGAGUAGAGAUCGCAUGGUUUGAGGUAUUUUCGAGUACGGUGGUUCUUGAUUUCUGGAGCUUCAUCAGUCGGAGAUUAUCGAGGCAACUGCCUUGGCGUCUGCAGACCUUGACUCUCCUCCUUUAUCUUUUAGUUUGUUUAUAUUGUUCUACUUUCCUAGACAGUGUUUCAGUUGUCAGACUGUGUUAUUGUAUAG